CGCAGCUGCUGUCAUUGGCCCUGGUCACCCCAGCAUGCUAGUGACACCCCACUGCCUCUCGAGGUCAAUUAGUCCUUUUUCUUUCCAAAUACCUGGGGCUGGAGCGCUCAGGCCAACAGUGGCCGCGCUUGGGGCGCUCGCCUCGGGCUAAGUCAAUGAGCGCCACCCGUGGGCUCAGCAGCCCGCCGGGCCGUAAACAGAAGUUGCAGGGACUCAGGCCAAACGCAAGUUGCACUACUGGAAGAACUCUUCCGGGAGCUAGCCCAGGACGGGGCGGGAAGGCCGGGCUCUGGGCUCAGUGUACCAGGCUUUUUUUUUUUUUUUUUUAAAGAGAUCCUGCAGGCAGGAGAACAAGCGCCCCCAAAGUCAAUCGCAAGACAGCUUCGGGAUGCCAACGGAGAAGGCCCAGAGUCCCCGGCCCUUGGCCGAGGCGAGCACCGGGUGACUCCAACUGCCCGGGGCCAGGCUUCGCGUCCGAGGUGACCCCGUUGGGUACUGGGGAGUCGGGCUGGCGGCCGCAGGCAAUCACGCUCAGGUGCCAAGCCGGGCUCCCGGCCCGUGCUCCACCCGCUGCAGCCCUGCACCCCAGGAAGGCCGGGCAGGGGCAGCCCAGGGACCUCCCUGCGACUCCAAGAGGUGUAGCGAUUCUAACUGGGUUUGGUUUUGUUUGGGCUUUUUCUUUUCCUUUUUCCCCUGCCCAGACCGAAGAAGAGGGAACCUGCACUGACCGCCUCAUGUCUCCCACGCCCCGGACAACCGGCGCCACCAGAAGCGAUCCCGCUUAGGCUCCCAGAAAACGCGGGAGGAAGCAAGAAGGGGGCUAAAGAGAGAAAGAGGGGGGCGGAAAAUAAUAACGGGAGAGGCAGGAAAGCGGACUCAUUUGUAGCAUCAAUAAAAACACACGCACGCACACACAAAGGAGAUGGCAAUCAACAGAAACAUGUGGAGACUGAAAGAUUUUGAAGCAUUGAGAACUACAUGGGAUGUCUUUUCUAUACUUCACAUCAACACCCAGAGAUCUCUGAAGAAGAGGAGUAGGAGAAAUUGGUUAUCUCCACAUAACAGCCCUGGCUCUUCUGGAACUCCCUCUGUAGAGACGGAUGACCUUGAACUCACUGAUUCACUGGCCUCUGCCUGCCAAGUGCUGGGGUUAAAGGCAUGCAUCACCACCACCUGGUCAACACACUUUUCUUGAAGCAGAUACUCAAGGUUUCCUUCCAAGCUUUCAUAUGGCUCGUGAAGCACUGACUCUGUUCUGCUAAUGCUGUCUCUAUAGCGCAGAGGCCACAAGUGUGAUGGUCAAAUGGUCCCUGGCUUCUUUGAGUUGUCAACUGAAGAAAUCUGCUUGAUUGGUCCACAUAGCUGAUAGAGAAAAUAGCCACUACGUUUGUCUGAAACAUGUGACUGUACAGAAAGCUCCAAACCUCUGCUAUUGUUAGUUUAUUUUUCAUUUCCAUCUCAGGUUUAAUAAGAAUUGUGAUCUUAAGGCACAAUGUCACAGGCAAAGAAUUAAAAGCAGAAGUUUUCUCCGUGGCUACUGUUUUUAUAAAUAAAUAAAUAAUAGAAGUAAAA